AAAAGAAGCUUCAGACUUCAGAGUGUUGUUUACAGUUUUCUGUCAUCAUGAUCUCCCCUGAAGUUUAUCACUAUUAGGCAAGCAAGCAGAGCGGCAGUUUGUGCUCACAGAUGGUGACGGUGUGGAGAGACGGUGGUGUUUCCUCAGAAGAACUAGCAGAGUCACAAAGAGCACCAGUCCAUCUCACCACCUUGACUUGCUGACUGAUGCUCGUCUGCACUGCACAGAGGAAAUCAACUGACCGAGGAGUGUUUCUGGGUGAGGGAGAGAGGAGUCAUCAUCCAGGUAAAGUGACGUGGAUCAGUGGACACACUUGUCUCCCCUUUAAAGGAGAUACUCUUAGAGAGAGACGAUCCAAGUCAUCCCUAAAUAUGGGCAGGAUAUCAGUCUUGGACUGUCUAACCUGCCGGAGCAGCACUGAAUGACCACCACACAUGAGCAUGUUCCUGCAACAUUCAGCAGCUUUGCUUUUGUGUCAAAUGUCAAACAGCUGGAGAGGAAACUACACCAGUGUACUGGGAUGUUUCACCAACACGUGCCAGAUGCUGUUCCUUCAUGGUGACAUCACCAGAGACAGCCCCGCCCACCUCAGGACCUCGCCAUUGAUCAUGAUGAUUAUAAUAAUGACAGCGAGCGGAACUAAGACUGUACAAAUCCACGACCAGAAUGUUUAGAUGCUUUCUAAUUAUUAAUGAAUACUGAGAGCCUCUUUCUGUGUUUUGUCUGUUUUGGGUUGUUUUUUUUUACCUCAUUUGUUACUAACAAAGUUCACCAAACUCACACAGUUUACAUUCUGUAUGUUUCCAUCUUUACCAGCCACACUCUACCUGCAUUUAGAAAACAAACCUUAGAAAUCGUCGUUUUUCUCUUUUAUAAUUUUGUAAUUCAGUGAAUAUACUGCGCUGCUUCCUUUUAUUGCAUCACACAUUGCUUUAAGUUUUUCAGUGUCCAGUUAUUUUUUACUGCUGUUUGAAUUCACUGUAUGUUUGACCCUGUAGACUGUUUAAUGGACUGCUUGUCUUCCUGUUUGUAACC